rnacentral:rRNA from 1 species
AUUGAACGCUGGCGGCAGGCCUAACACAUGCAAGUCGAGCGGAUGAAGGGAGCUUGCUCCUGGAUUCAGCGGCGGACGGGUGAGUAAUGCCUAGGAAUCUGCCUGGUAGUGGGGGAUAACGUCCGGAAACGGGCGCUAAUACCGUAUACGUCCUGAGGGAGAAAGUGGGGGAUCUUCGGACCUCACGCUAUCAGAUGAGCCUAGGUCGGAUUAGCUAGUUGGUGGGGUAAAGGCCUACCAAGGCGACGAUCCGUAACUGGUCUGAGAGGAUGAUCAGUCACACUGGAACUGAGACACGGUCCAGACUCCUACGGGAGGCAGCAGUGGGGAAUAUUGGACAAUGGGCGAAAGCCUGAUCCAGCCAUGCCGCAUGUGUGAAGAAGGUCUUCGGAUUGUAAAGCACUUUAAGUUGGGAGGAAGGGCAGUAAGUUAAUACCUUGCUGUUUUGACGUUACCAACAGAAUAAGCACCGGCUAACUUCGUG